GGAGAUCUGUCAAUGGCCCUGACUUUCGCACUCGAAAAUGGAGGAAAGAUAAGAACGGAGUCUUCCAGAAACAGUUCAAUAUUCAGUUUUCUACAAAACAUUGGUAGGAGACAGAUGGACUAUGGGAAGAUGGAAAGAGGAAACAGAGUAGUAAGUAGGCAUCAGCCUUCAAGUAGCCAACUCCCUACUCUGUCUCAUAUACACAUUGAAGAAAUAUCAAGGGGUGCACAAAAGUUAAAUCAGAUCCUCCGGGCCUGCUCUAAUGGUCUCAACUUUGACAGAUACUCGAUAGAAAUUGGACAGGAGCUGUUGAAAGGAGCAAUGGAUUUGCAAGAGUCUCUAAAGUUGCUUGUCGGCAUGCAGGAAGCUUCGGAUUACUUGAUAACACCACAGAGAAAAAGUCGGUUAACAUUGCUAGAGGAGGAUGAAGAUGAUGAUGAGAAUACCAUCACAAUAGCUGACCAGAAGCAACUGAGUAGACCAAGAUUUUCUUUUGAUAGACCCUCAAGAAAGUAUAAUGACAUUCAAGAAGUUGCAAAGACAGAACUUAAGCUGAGGCUGGCAGCUCUUACCUAUUCUACAGAUGUUCCUAAUUCGAAGCAUGAGAAGAAAGGUUUAGGUGCCUCAAAUUUACGUUCUCACAAGCGAUCAGUUAGCUGUGGUACUGAUGUUAAAACUCUUAGUGUAUUCUCAGAACAAAAUCACUCAAGUUCACCGCAGUCCAAACAAGAAAAGUCAAGAAUUCCAAAUGUAAUCGCAAGACUAAUGGGGAUUGAAGAACUUCCAGGAAAUGUAGAUUCAAAGGUCAGCACAAAAAAGGAGUCUGGAAAUCAAAAAUUAGAAGGGACAACUACAAAGAAACCUGCAAAGGGGAGUACCAAGAAGGCUGAACAAAGGGAAAAAGAUUCCACAACCUCAGUUCUCCCACCAGCAAAACAGAAGGCAACACUACCCAGCAAGAUUCCACUGGUUCAGGAUACAGUUACAUCACAAGCAGGAAAGACGUUGGCAACUAGAAAUGGCAGCACAAGGGUUGAUGUUCAUGACAAGUUACCACCUCGAAAGGACUUGGAAGAUGUAAAACCAGUGAUAAGCCUGAGAAAAGGCAUGAUUAAGGUAGACAAACGACAAAGUGACUCUGCCCAACUAAAUCAUAAUUCUGGAAGUAGAAAAGAAAUUCAGGAGAGAAACCAUGAUAGCAUAAAGCACAGGGAGCAGAAGUACACUGAAAGAAGUGAAAUCAAGGGACCAGUUUUCAAGGAUGAGAUGCAACAGAUGAUACCAUAUAUGCAUAAAAGAUCAGAAUCUACACUUACAUUGCUAGAAAAGCCAGAGUACGGUGAAAGCAUGCUUCAUGGGGAAAAUAGUUCUGCUAACAAGCUUCGUCUAGGCAAUCAACAAAAGCUGCAAAAUAAUCAUGGAUUUCAACAGGUGCACAUGCUCCAGAAAUCUGAGCCUCAAGAGAAAAAGCGUCAACCAGAAGAAAGAGAACAAGAAAAACAGAAAUUGCAGGAGAAGAAACAAAAGAGACCUGAAUCAGUAUCUAGCAAUAUCUCCAAACUAAUGUCUGGUGCAACCGAUUUGCAAAAGAAGCAGCUGCAACUGAACCAAGCAGCAACUAGUAGGAAAGGCUCCA
rnacentral:lncRNA from 1 species